rnacentral:rRNA from 1 species
GACAGAGGUGCCGAGCGUUAGGCGGAAUCACUGGGCUUAAAGCGUGUGUAGGCGGAUCGUUAAGUACCUUGUGAAAUCCCACAGCUUAACCGUGGAACUGCUGGGUAUACUGGCGAUCUUGAGCCACCUAGGGGCAACCGGAACAAAUGGUGGAGCGGUGAAAUGCGUAGAUAUCAUUUGGAACGCCAAUGGUGAAAACAGGUUGCUGGGGGUGUGCUGACGCUGAGGAGCGAAAGCAUGGGUAGCAAACAGG